rnacentral:rRNA from 1 species
AUUGAACGCUGGCGGAAUGCUUUACACAUGCAAGUCGAACGGCAGCACGGACUUCGGUCUGGUGGCGAGUGGCGAACGGGUGAGUAAUGUAUCGGAACGUGCCCAGUCGUGGGGGAUAACGUAGUGAAAAUUACGCUAAUACCGCAUACGAUCUAUGGAUGAAAGCGGGGGAUCGCAAGACCUCGCGCGAUUGGAGCGGCCGAUAUCAGAUUAGGUAGUUGGUGGGGUAAAGGCCCACCAAGCCAACGAUCUGUAGCUGGUCUGAGAGGACGAGCAGCCACACUGGAACUGAGACACGGUCCAGACUCCUACGGGAGGCAGCAGUGGGGAAUUUUGGACAAUGGGCGAAAGCCUGAUCCAGCCAUUCCGCGUGCAGGAUGAAGGCCCUCGGGUUGUAAACUGCUUUUGUACAGAACAAAAAGGUUUCUACUAAUACUAGGAGCUCAUGACGGUACUGUAAGAAUAAGCACCGGCUAACUACGUGCCAGCAGCCGCGGUAA